UGUAUGCCAAGGUCAACAAACCAAGGGCAGCUGGUACCACGUCUCCUCCUGCUCCCGUUGCCCCAAAUGACAGCUGUGUGGACAGGAUCCAGCUCUUAAGGAGAGAGUACCAGCAGGCACGGAGAGAAGGUAUGGUGCCACCCUAUGAAGAACUGGACCCACGGCGAAGAGGACAUGACAACGACACACACAUGAUGCCAGGCAGAGGGGUGGAUCCUCGGAUGGCGCCGCGUUAUGAAGAGGUGGAGCGUCAGUACGCUUCCUUGCCGAGACGCGGCCCUCUGGACCCAGCUGAUUACCCCAUGCAGCCCUGGCCUGGCCACUACCCAGCACCAACCCAGGCCCCACAGGGAUACCCUCACUCCCCCUCCUACCCUAACCCCAAAGCCCCGGCGGCUCCAUCGUACUCUGGCUACACACCCGGCCAGCCGUACCCACGGCCGGCGGACCCCCGGGGCGUCGAGCCCGGCUACUACCUGCACCCAGGUUCGCAGCAGAGAGGCCCUUUGCGGCAGGACGUGCCCCCGUCUCCCACCCCUCCCCUUCGUGGAUUACGGUACGACACUAUGACACGUGGGACUGGAGGCUACAGGUAGACGGCGUAUCUGGACGCAGGCCAUCUCAGGCAGCUGCUGGAUUCCAGUCCAGACCAAUAUGGCUGAACUGUGGGUGGAGGAAGACAGCUACGACCAAACCAAGACAGAGGAAUGCCCCGACUGCAGCUGUGAAGACAAAAACAAGCCAAGGGUGGAGCUCCUCUACGUUCGGUACUCCAACGUCACCUUGUGCAAAAAAGAUUUCAGCUCCCAAACAGUGUCUGCACUGUCUGAAGUGCAUUGUGAUGAGCUGAAGGACGGUAAAGGAUUCUGGCCGUGACAGAUGAGUUUGUCCCUUUUGGAAUCGACCAUGCACCCAAAACUAUCUGGAUUCAUUUAAAUAAAGCCACUAAAGAUUAAAGCCA
rnacentral:lncRNA from 1 species